AAAAAACCUAUGGAGCUGCUGCACAUGAUGGGGAAGCAGAAAGUAGGCAUGAGUGACAGCACAGAUACCUCGAGCCCUGAGCAUCCAGAAAUGGGCCAGAUGACCCCUUCAGUAUAUUGGUAUUCUCCAGUGAACAACCUCAAAAGCUCAUCAAACAGUAUGAAAAGAGAAAAGAAGGUCAGAGACGAAGGCCUGGAUGAGCAAAGAGGGCUACAGCUUCUCAAUAACACGAGCAAUGGAAUUCCUUUCUCCUGGUCCAAACAGAAGACAAAGUCAUAAACCAAACCAUGUUUUAUUAUAUAUAUAACUUCAGGCUCUAUCCAAAAAGGAUUUGAGUCUGUGUACAGUAAGGACCAGGGAUAUGGAAAUUCACUAAAAAAUAAACAGUAAAGCAGAACCAAAAGAAUAAGAAAAAGGGAAAGACUGGGAACUUCAUAGGAUAAUAUAAUUCUCCUUGACAUGGUGGAGGAUCACACUGGACUCACAUUGAGUUUUCCAGCAGUGGCAAAUAUGGGAGUAUAAAAUUCUAUAGCUCUUAUUAUGUGAGCAGCAAAAACUCUAAAAGUUGAUUAAAGAAGAUAAAAGUCUUUGUGGGGAUUAUUG
rnacentral:lncRNA from 1 species